UUAGGAGGGAGGCUUCAGCACCAGAAACAAUGGGCAGCCAGAGAACAAUGGUUACAGACAAAGUCUUGGUCUAUUUAUAUCUGCCCCUGUGAGUCCCAGACAGGAGGAACUGGAAGUCUGCCCUGUAUGCAUAGCUCCAACUGGACCAGAGCUGGGAGGAAGAUGAGGUCACCACAAAGGCUGCCUGCUGAGGAAUGAACUAUUCUUUUGCUCAUACUGUUCCUUCUCAGUCGAAUAGGUCUCUCUAGCCAAGGGCAGAACUUGCUUGCCCUCCAUAGUCCCCUCUGAGGUUGGUAGACCUGAGAGGUAAUGAAGGCCUCUUUCGGGGAUGCCAAGGAUAAAUCAACCAAAGAUAAGAGAUCAAUGCCAUGGCUCCUAAGACAACAGUCUUAUCGGGUCUGUUCACUACACAUGGCUAGUGGCACUACAACAGAGCUCCUUCUGGUUAAGUUCCUUAGCUCACCCCUUGGAAUUGAAUGAAGGGACUACCACACAGGGCUGGGGGCGCAUCUCGAGCUGAAAACACUUGUCCAGCAAGCGUUCUAUCUGGGUUCAAUCCAGCACCACUGUCGAGGAGAAAAGAGAGGCCAAGUGCUGACCAUGCAUGGACACAAAGAAAGAUCCUUCCUUCCCUUUCAUUGCUUCGUCUCCCCCUUUGGAAUUUCAUCUUUUCUCCUAACACGACUUCGUACUGUGAUAAUCAAUUUCUUCCUUCCCUAUUAGGUUUCUUAUAUUCUUACUCUUCCCUCGGGCUUAGUAAGACGGAAGCAGAAGGUCAGAUUAGUCUGUGAUAGACCACAACCUGCUGGUGCCAGAAGCAGGAGGUCAGAUUAGUCUGUGAUAGACCACAACCUGCUGGUGCCAGAAGCAGGAGGUCAGAUUAGUCUGUGAUAGACCACAACCUGCUGGUGCCAGAAGCAGGAGGUCAGAUUAGUCUGUGAUAGACCACAACCUGCUGGUGCCAGAAGCAGGAGGUCAGAUUAGUCUGUGAUAGACCACAACCUGCUGGUGCCAGAAGGAAGCCAUAGGAAAAGAGACCCAGCGGUGGGUCCCUGUAGACUGUCACCCUGCUACCUGUCCACCUCAUACGUGUGCCACCUGUCUCUUUGAAGACAUCCAGGCAACCGAUAGUCAGCAAUGUCAUGCACUGGGUUCAACCCUACAAGUCCUAAGCACAGACCCAGAUUCGUCCCCCAAAAUAACAACAUUUGAGACAUGAUACAAAGAUCCCCGUGGGGAAACGUCAGCUUUCUACUCCUGCCUCUGAAUCUCCACUAGUGACUUCCUUCCCUGCUCCUGGAAAACCAACACUUAAAUAAGCAAAAGGAAGCAGAAGUGAGGUAACGCUCCUGUCUCUCGUUUAAAUAGGUGAGACUAUGGAAGACGGACACAUUCCCUCCCACGUUGAGAGGGAACUGGUGGCAAGCACUUAAAUGUUUGAUCAUUUUAGAACUCAGGCAGGACAUUGCUGGGGCCAACGGACCCUGUGAACGACAGUUAGUUACAGGUUACACUGCCUUCUUCCCCAGCCUCAGCCUCACUCAUUUACAAGUGCAUGAGGUAAAAAUGCUUGCCCCCAGUUCAGAGUACCUGAAGGCACACUAAUAAACCUGAACUGCCAAGACGGCUGAGACAUCACGUGCCAGGCCGCACUAGCAAACGAUGGAGUCGCUCAGUACAUUGGGUGAAGACCACCUUAAAACACAUCAGACAGUGGAUGUUGGGAGUGGGAGCAUGGAGCACCUGAUCUGAUCCAGUCUUUACUCAAACCCUGCUUCUUUAGUUUCUCUCCACCCAUUUUUCCCUAUGGGCAAAAUAGCCCCUUCUUUCCAAAGGCUCUGCUGACUCAUCCUAGUGCAAUCCAAGAGAGCCACUCGGGAGUCACAUGGUAGGAGCACAUUCACAGCGUUCAGACCCAAGGCAAGGCUGAGUGACAUCAGAGAAGAUGUGAAAAUUCCCACCUGUGGCUUGUUUGGCAAGUCCAGGACACAACCCUCCCCUCCCCUAUCAGCCUUCAAACUUCGCCGCACACCAGCAAACAGCAGCCUUGCCUCAAACUGGAACGUCUGGAGUUUAUAGCCUCAGACUUUAUACGUUUGACGACUCAUAGAAUAAAGGCUCUACUCAGUCCUUUAGGCCCAAUACGUAUCUCUUAGGAGAUAGACACCACCCACCCCAGGACCUGAGUUAGGCAUUUAAGUAAUAAUUAAGAGUGGGUCCCUGCUAAAGUCUCCUGGGUUGCUAAGUAUUUACUUAAGACCUAGAGAGAGAGACACUUGGAAGAGUUCGUGAUUACUCUCCCUGUGGCAUUAGGUUCCCCGCUAACCCUGCCAUCUGCCCUUCUCCACAGUUGGUGCGGGGCUACCCGAUCUAUAACGUGAGUCCCUGUAUCUCUUCAGCUUUGGCUGAGAAGAGUGAGCCAUCACUCCAUGCAUUCUGCCCUCAGUCUUUAUUUACCCUUCUCUUGCCUUCUUCCUCUAUACACCUUCACUCUGGCUAUGGAAAGCCUCAUCUGCAGCCAAGAAGCAGAGAAGAAUUCACAGAAUUUGCUAUAAAACCUUAACAACUCCUUGGAGGGAGGCUCUCCCGCCUGGCAGCCAGACGUAAUUAUAGGAUGAAUGAACGGGAAGCUGCCAGUGGAGGAGGAGUCCUGGAGCUGUGUCACUGGCCAAGGGUCCCACACUAUUCCUGCAAGAGUUAGAAGUGCCGUUAGAUGUCAUCUACUUCCAACUUGACUUUUCCUAAUGGGGAAAGGAAGCCCAGGAGGGGACCCACCUUUGCCUCACUAAUUCAGGACCCUUUGACCCCCUGCCCAGGAUUUUCCUCAUCUAUACCAUGAGCUGGGAGCAAGAGGGUCCCCUCCAUGUCUUUACUACAACCAAGCCCUGCAGCAUCAUUCUGGAUCAACAUUCCUCCCCCUAGUUCUCCAGAAACCCCAGGGGACAGCUACCCAUAAAAGCCAACACAUAUGUAAAUAGUAUGACAUAUUAUGGCUCCCUCUUCUACCUGUUUCCACUGUAGUUUACAAGAGCUGAGUGAAAACCACCAAAGUGUACACCCCCCCCCUCACCCCCAAGAGGGAGGUCCCUGUUGUGUGUCGGUGAUCAUUAAACAAGCAGAAUUUGAUGGCGUGACACUGCAAUGCACACCAGCUCUGAAAACAGAGGGUGCCAUUCUUAUCAAACCAGGGCCAGGGAGGACAUCAGUUAAUGUCUGAUCUACAGAUCUGUAUCUUAAAAACCACUGGGAGGAGAAGCGAGAGUCACUAUGCCAUUUGAAGCCUCUCCAACGUUAUCAUUUCAGUUCUGUGGUGCCCAAACAGAAUGACCAAGGUACAAUGAACGUCACAGAGACACGACACUAUCUAGGACAUAAAGUCCGAACUUGCGAAGCAAGCCGCCAUCUGAUGAAUGAAGCUGUCUGUUUCAUCCACGAAGGGCCUGAAGUCUUAGAGCAAUUCAAGUACCUCUCAUCCUAAAAGCAAACACAUUUGGAGUGCUGAAUCUACAGCUUUAAGAAGUCCUAGCUCUCUCCUAGUUGACAUCUUUUAGCCUCACAGGUUUCUUCCUUCUGGGCCUCUUAUAAGAACCCCAUGCACCCAGACUUCAGUGUACUGGCAACCACACAGCUGCCUCAAAGUCUUGUCCAUGCAGGCCCAGAGCAUACAGCUCUGGGCACCUCUAACAACAAAGCCAGGAGGCUGACCCAGCGGCCAGGCAGACCCAAUCUGCAGAUCAAUGGGCUAGACAGACAGAUAAAGAGCAGAGAGAAAGUGAUCAAUGCUAAGGGGGCAGCAGCUGAAGCAGCUCUCUCCAUCUGCCUGGCUGGGUCAGGUGGGGAAGAGAAGCCCGGAUGCCCAGUCCUCAUCCGAUGUUAAUAACUGGCUCUGCCUCAUCAGGAAGCCAUUAGGAACUUGCAGCCACCCCAGCCCAGGCUCCUUGGGCCGAACUGUCUGCAUGCAGCUGGUGAGAGCGCUCAUUACCUCCACCCAGCAAGAGUGGGGGGUUACUCCACUGAGAAGCUUAAGCAAGCCAGCCUGCAGAGUAGAGCGGAGAGCUUGAGUGCUGAGGAGAGGCAAGUAGAAAGUCGGCCCCUAGAGAUGGGAAGAUGGAGAACCCAAAUCGGAUGUGUGUGCUUUGCGCACUCCUUAGGACCUUGUCCUUACUGGACAGCAUGCCUUUGUUCAACCGACACCAACUAUAGGCUGUGGGUGUGCACAGAGCUUCUUUGGGGGACACUGAAAACAUUUUGAAAUGAGGCGCCUGUGAUGAUCACACAACUCUAUCAAUGCAUUAAAAGCCACUGAACUCCUACAGCAUGAACUCUAGAGAGAUAAGCCAGCUACUAACUCACAGAGCAAUGGGAAGACCUUGGUGACUGACAGCCAGAGACCCUCCAUUUGGUAGGGGCUCCCACUCUAGUGGGACAAACCUGUACUGUUAAAUAUACAAAAAGUAAUACAUGCUCCCAACUCCAGAGCGGCCAAGACUUUGCAGUGAGACCGAUGUGGCUGCAUUCCAGACUCUUCAGGAAGGGGAAUAGGAAGGAGACUGCAGACAGAUGUCCUGGGAUGGGAGGGGACCAAGGUGAUGAAUAUGAAACCAAUUACUGAGAAGGAAAGACAGAGGGAGGCUGGGGCCUCCAACACCCACCUCUGACACACGGAAAUGCUUUGGGUGGCAGCUGGACUGUGUGUGCCUCCCUGAGACACUGUGGGAGAAGCUGGGCAAGGUCCAUGUUCAGAACAGACACCUGGUGUCACUGGCUUCUGGGAACACUUAUGUAGAGGCCCCAGAUCCCUCUAAUUUCCUAGGUCCUAACCACACCCAGAAGAGGCUUCCCAAGGCCCUCACUUAAAGACCCUCAGAGAGAAGUGUACCUUAUACUCUGGCCCCUGCCCACUGGCUAAAUGUUUUUCUCCUAACCCCUAGGAUGUAAUGAAAGAGGGAUAAAUACAACAGGAUCUUGGGAAGACAGAUGCUAACAGAACUCAUCAUCACAAACUGGGAACUGAGGCAGGCCCCGUCACAACACACUGACAACUGGGUCAUUUGGGGAGAUUUUUCAGAAAGGGGUAAUGAGUUCUGUCCCCUGGAAUGUCCCAACCCAACACUGAUGGAUUCCCUAGCCCUUACUCAGAUGGCACAGGGCCCCCACCCUGGAUAAGUGAAUAAAGCAUUGUAGAGAGCAGGAGAGGAAAGAGGAGUGGAGAUCUGAGGGACAGGAAUCUAGUGAGCUCCGGUUCUGGGGAACAUACGAGAUGAAAUGUGGAGGAGAGAGAGGACAGAGGGAACAUGCUGAAGAGGUAAUUCUCUGAGCCCUACACACCCUCCAGUUGGGAUGAGCCCUGUCUUGGCAGCAGGCUCAUUGCUGCUUUAUGGUAUACUGAGUUAGUCACUGGAUUAGCAAGCACAUUUACACACACGGGCUUAGCCGUUUAAAGACACACGAUCCCUUUUCCUAGUUGCUAGAUCCUGGUUGUAAAAUCCUCUGCUGCAAUCAACUGCUGAAGGCCAGAGGUCCAUGGGUUUUCAGGGAAAAUCUGGCUGAGCCAGGGACAGUCCAACAGGCACCUGUUUGGGAACGGGAGGAAGAACCCUGGAGAAGGGUAGCAGGCUGCUUCGUGUCAGACAUUCCUGCUGCAUCAAGUGGCCUCGAGGCCUAAACUUCUGUCCCCUCCCUGGAAAAUUCUCAGGCAUGGUUGAGCUCUCUCUUCAUUCCUCGGUUUCCCAGUCCACAACAAGGUGUGUGGAGGGGGGACGGGGAGCACCAAUUCUGUAUGCAUGUUUAGCUAGUGUGCUUUCAUUCAUCCAUCUUGAACUUGAAAAAUACAUGCUAGGAAUUACCCAAACCCAUGGUAUAGAUUUAUAUACAACUGAAUGGUUUUUUUUCUUCCUAACAUUAAUAUUAAUGAGGAUCUUAAAAGAAAAUACGACACGACACGGAGAAUAGCAUCCCAAGAAUCAAGGUUUCUCCUAAGAGUGUGGCCAGGGUUUCUCUCCAAAUGGGUGUUCUGUGUAGGCUGGGCUUUGUGACAAUGCUCAAAAUAAAGAUUUGGGACUUUGCACCUCUAUGGCCCUAAGCAAAUUAUUUGAAAUUUUCUGAGAUUCUGUUUCUUAUAUGAGAAAAAGAAAAUGGGGAUGAAACAUUAACCUCACAGAGCUAGCCAACCAACGGAUGUGAGUGCUUCUGUAAAGGUCCUUGUGAAUUACCUGGUACAUCCCCAGUAAUCUGCAAACGCUACUUUAUCUCAUCCUUUGUGCCGCAGGUUACUGCUAUGUCUAUAACACAGGAGGAACACCCAACCAUUUUGCAGAGUGUUUUAUUUCUGUCAGGAGACACGGGGUGUGUGGUGGAACUCUUGGUCUACAUGAAGUCAAGGAUAUGUUUCCUGGUCACAUAUCUGUGACUCACCUUGGAGAGUUCGUCGUAUUGAGCAUGAGGACUCUGCAUCCGAUCUCCCACUAAUUAAACAACUCUCCCUGCAUCAGCAGUGACUUGUCUCGAGCACUUUCUAAACAUGAACUCAUUAACUCUCCUACUCUCUCUCCCAAGGAAUGACCGCUGACUCAGAGCAAACUCCUUCAAGAAGAAUACAGAGACUAUGAAAAGGUAACAAGGAUCUGGAGGCCUGGAGUCAGAACAGACUAGGUAUCCCAAAUCGAAUCUCGCAUCGGGCCGCAGAAGGACACAAGAUGACAACCUCUGUCAGCCAGCUCAGUGCACAGCAAAGGAACUGUUCAAGCCAGGG
rnacentral:sRNA from 1 species